GACGAACGCUGGCGGCGUGCUUAACACAUGCAAGUCGAACGGAAAGGCCCUGCUUUUGUGGGGUGCUCGAGUGGCGAACGAGUGAGUAACACGUGAGUAACCUGCCCUUGACUUUGGGAUAACUUCAGGAAACUGGGGCUAAUACCGGAUAGGAGCUCCUGCUGCAUGGUGGGGGUUGGAAAGUUUCGGCGGUUGGGGAUGGACUCGCGGCUUAUCAGCUUGUUGGUGGGGUAGUGGCUUACCAAGGCUUUGACGGGUAGCCGGCCUGAGGGGGUGACCGGCCACGUUGGGACUGGAAUACGGCCCGGAAUCCUACGGGGGGCAGCAGUGGGGAAUACUGCCCUAUGGGCUGCCUCCUGAUGCAGCAACGCCGCGUGCGGGAUAACUGCCUUCGGGUUGUAUGCCGCUUUCGCCUGUGACGAAGCGUGAGUGACGGUCAUAGGUAAAGAACCACCGGCUCACUACGUG
rnacentral:rRNA from 1 species